rnacentral:rRNA from 1 species
UAACCUGGGAACUGCAUUCGAAACUGGCAGGCUAGAGUCUUGUAGAGGGGGGUAGAAUUCCAGGUGUAGCGGUGAAAUGCGUAGAGAUCUGGAGGAAUACCGGUGGCGAAGGCGGCCCCCUGGACAAAGACUGACGCUCAGGUGCGAAAGCGUGGGGAGCAAACAGGAUUAGAUACCCUGGUAGUCCACGCCGUAAACGAUGUCGAUUUGGAGGUUGUGCCCUUGAGGCGUGGCUUCCGGAGCUAACGCGUUAAAUCGACCGCCUGGGGAGUACGGCCGCAAGGUUAAAACUCAAAUGAAUUGACGGGGGCCCGCACAAGCGGUGGAGCAUGUGGUUUAAUUCGAUGCAACGCGAAGAACCUUACCUGGUCUUGACAUCCACAGAACUUUCCAGAGAUGGAUUGGUGCCUUCGGGAACUGUGAGACAGGUGCUGCAUGGCUGUCGUCAGCUCGUGUUGUGAAAUGUUGGGUUAAGUCCCGCAACGAGCGCAACCCUUAUCCUUUGUUGCCAGCGGUCCGGCCGGGAACUCAAAGGAGACUGCCAGUGAUAAACUGGAGGAAGGUGGGGAUGACGUCAAGUCAUCAUGGCCCUUACGACCAGGGCUACACACGUGCUACAAUGGCAUAUACAAAGAGAAGCGACCUCGCGAGAGCAAGCGGACCUCAUAAAGUAUGUCGUAGUCCGGAUUGGAGUCUGCAACUCGACUCCAUGAAGUCGGAAUCGCUAGUAAUCGUAGAUCAGAAUGCUACGGUGAAUACGUUCCCGGGCCUUGUACACACCGCCCGUCACACCAUGGGAGUGGGUUGCAAAAGAAGUAGGUAGCUUAACCUUCGGGAGGGCGCUUACCACUUUGUGAUUCAUGACUGGGGUGAAGUCGUAACAAGGUAACCGUAGGGGAACCUGCGGUUGGAUCACCU